UUAUACCCCCGCACAACAAAGUUGUAAGGGGGGUAUACUGGAAUCAGCUUGUCUGUCCGGCCAUCCGGCCGUCCGUCGGUUUUUUCUUGUCCGCCCAAUAACUUAAGAUAUCUUUGACCCUUAGUCUUCAUAUUUGGCAUGGAGGUUAGUCAUGAUUAGUAGAUGACCCCUAUUGAUUUUGAGGUCACCAGGUCAAAGGUCACAGGGACUUUGACUUCAAAAAGUUUGUCUGCCCAAUAACUUUAGAUUCCUUUGACCCACAGUCUUCAUAUUUGGCAUGGAUGUUGAUCAUGAUAAGUAGAUGACCCCUUGUGAUUUUGAGGUCACUGGAUCAAAGGUCAAGGUCAUAGGGACUUUGACUUCAAAAAGUUUGUCCACCCAUUUACUUAAGAUUCCUUUGACCCACAGUCUUCAUAUUUGGCAUGGAUGUUGAUCAUGACUAUAAGGUGACCCCUAUUGACUUUGAGGUCACUGGGUCAAAGGUCAAGGUCACAGGGACCUUGACAAAAAAAGCUUUUCUUCUCAAUUGCUAAAGAAUGUCCUGUCCGCAAUGUAUUGAUUUUGACAUUUUCACAUUUGAAGCUUGUAGAAUACAUAACUUAGCAAUGCACUGGCUUAGUAACCUCAGAUUUGGCAGGGAGGUUGUCCUUGAGCUCUAAAUGGCCACUGUUGAUUCUGACAAAGUGGUAUGCGGGGGUAUUCACGCCAAGAUAGUGGCAGUUCUAGUUUCUUUUUUAAA